rnacentral:rRNA from 1 species
GUGCCAGCAGCCGCGGUAAGACAGAGGGUGCAAACGUUGUUCGGAAUUACUGGGCAUAAAGAGCACGUAGGUGGUCUGCUAAGUCACGUGUGAAAUCCCCCGGCUCAACCGGGGAAUGGCGCGUGAUACUGGCAGGCUCGAGGUGGGCAGGGGUGAGCGGAACUCCAGGUGGAGCGGUGAAAUGCGUAGAUAUCUGGAGGAACACCGGUGGCGAAAGCGGCUCACUGGACCCAAUCUGACACUGAGGUGCGAAAGCUAGGGUAGCAAACGGGAUUAGAUACCCGGGUAGUCC